AGAAGCACACAUUAAAAAACGGCUACAAGUUGAGAGAGAUGGGAGAAUACACGACAUUCACCAAAUUGCAAGUUGCUGAGAGAGAGAGAGAGAAGAAUUCACGAAGAGUUCAAUUGUUGUGUAGUCCCACUGUUGGUGAGUUGAGGUGGCUCAGUGGUUCGCAAGGACACGAAUUGUCCAGAACCCGUUAGAAAACAUCUCAUGGCGUAAAUUGCAAAUCCGCUAUGCCCAGGAGGAUAAGCAGUUUCACCAGCCAGAUCAAUGCAGCUCUGGUAUUUAUGUGUGCAUGUAUGUGGAGCGUCUGGUAUCAGGCUCUCCGAGCAUUGCGUGGGCAAUAGUCACGCCCCCGACUAUAGGCGCAAGAUAGGCAGUAGCAUCUACGAGUUUUGCAUCCCCGGAGCAAAAGAUUAUGUAUUUCUACUUGUAAAUGAUUAUUAUGCAUAUUGAUAUUUUGAUUAGAUAUUGGAGUAUCUGUUAGUGUAUAUUUCUCUUCAUUUUCAAUUGCAACCUACAUAAAACAGUAAAAUAAGAUGAAAUAUACAAUUAGCCGCCAGAAAAUCACUAGCCGCUAUUAAAAAUCUCAGCGGCUAAUGACGGCAGCUAAUGAAUUUCUGGCGGCUAACUGGAUAUUUCAUCUUAUUUUAUUGUUUAAUGCAUAACCAAGGUAUCUCAAGUUAUUUUAUGCUAUGUACUCAACUUUUAUAUAAAACAUUGUUCAUUUCUCUAAA